rnacentral:tRNA from 1 species
GUAAAUGUAGUUUAACUAAAACAUUAGAUUGUGAGUCUAAAAAUAGGGGAUUGUAUCCCCUUAUUUACC